UUCGACCAGCCAUUUCUUCUUUAUUUCAGAUCUGAUUUUAUCAAAUCUUACACAAUAAUUGAAGCCCUUCAUGUCAGCUUUCCAAUUCUAUCUUUUGAUUGUUAAAUGCCUUUCUACAAUUCUUUGUAUGCUUGAAAGAGUGAUAGUAGGUACAAAUUUCACAUCCAGGCUUUAAACAGCCAUAACUCUCUCAUUACAGACUCAAAGUUAACAACCCUUGUACAAAAAUUGUAUUACUUCAAAUCAGCUUUCCAACGACACCUUUUGUUUUCUAGAAAACCAUCUACAACUUUCUGUAUGCUUAAAAGAGUGAUAGUCUGUAAACAAUUCUUACCCUAACUUCAAACAACCUUAACUUUUUUAUACAAAACUCAAAUAACAAACUUUAUAUACCAA
rnacentral:lncRNA from 1 species